rnacentral:rRNA from 1 species
UACGUAGGGGGGCAAGCGUUGUCCGGAUUUAUUGGGCGUAAAGAGCGUGUAGGCGGUUAUACAGGUCCGCUGUGAAAACUCGAGGCUCAACCUCGAGAUGUCGGCGGAAACCACUUGGCUAGAGUCCGGAAGAGGAGAGUGGAAUUCCCGGUGUAGCGGUGAAAUGCGCAGAUAUCGGGAAGAACACCUAUGGCGAAGGCAGCUCUCUGGGACGGUACUGACGCUGAGACGCGAAAGCGUGGGGAGCGAACAGG